rnacentral:lncRNA from 1 species
UAAUCAACUAGUAAUCGCUCCAAUUAAGUAACACAUGAUCUAAUAAGAAAUGUUUGAUCAAACAACGUAACGUUAUUAGUCUAAUAAUCUUUGAUCAAAAAGCACUAAGAAAAGUUCCUAUAUCAAGUGGGAUUUUAGCUAAGCAAGUUAAGAUUGAUACUUAAUUCCGUACCGGCAAGGUUUUAUCGAGUAUGUAGUAAAUGCAUCAUAUCAUCAUACAUACGUAUUCAUUUUGCUAUUUUAACGAAUAUUGUACCUUCUUCUAUAAAAAUAUAUGAUUUGUUUUGAAAGUUAGUCUACUUGCAUGUUAUACGUUUGUGAAAUCUUUUGUUAAAAGAUUCUUACUUUGUUUCUUGACUUGAUUGUUAAGUUUACUUGAGAAUCUUUCAUUUAUAAAUGAGGAUUGUUAUUGGCACUCCAAAUUCCUCAUUCUACACUCCAAACUUUCUAUAUUUAGAAACAAAAAUACACUUGUGAAGGGUGUAGAAUGAUAUUUUUAAAAUGUCAAUAACAUUUCCCUUAUAAAUUUAGGUCUUUUAAUGUUGCAACUUGCGAUGUUUUCCUAAUAUAGUUUGUUUGAAGCCCUAACUCAUUUCAUGCCGAAACAAGCAUAGAUUUAUGGGAACUUUAACGAAAAGCUCCCGGUACUGUUCACUUUAACGAAAAACCACAUUUUUACACUAAAAAGUCAAUCCUAGUACUAUUCACUU